GGCGGCGUGCUUAACACAUGCAAGUCGAACGAUGAAGCCCUUCGGGGUGGAUUAGUGGCGAACGGGUGAGUAACACGUGGGCAAUCUGCCCUUCACUCUGGGACAAGCCCUGGAAACGGGGUCUAAUACCGGAUAACACUCCUGCCUGCAUGGGCGGGGGUUAAAAGCUCCGGCGGUGAAGGAUGAGCCCGCGGCCUAUCAGCUUGUUGGUGGGGUAAUGGCCCACCAAGGCGACGACGGGUAGCCGGCCUGAGAGGGCGACCGGCCACACUGGGACUGAGACACGGCCCAGACUCCUACGGGAGGCAGCAGUGGGGAAUAUUGCACAAUGGGCGAAAGCCUGAUGCAGCGACGCCGCGUGAGGGAUGACGGCCUUCGGGUUGUAAACCUCUUUCAGCAGGGAAGAAGCGAAAGUGACGGUACCUGCAGAAGAAGCGCCGGCUAACUACGUGCCAGCAGCCGCGGUAAUACGUAGGGCGCAAGCGUUGUCCGGAAUUAUUGGGCGUAAAGAGCUCGUAGGCGGCUUGUCACGUCGGAUGUGAAAGCCCGAGGCUUAACCUCGGGUCUGCAUUCGAUACGGGCUAGCUAGAGUGUGGUAGGGGAGAUCGGAAUUCCUGGUGUAGCGGUGAAAUGCGCAGAUAUCAGGAGGAACACCGGUGGCGAAGGCGGAUCUCUGGGCCAUUACUGACGCUGAGGAGCGAAAGCGUGGGGAGCGAACAGGAUUAGAUACCCUGGUAGUCCACGCCGUAAACGUUGGGAACUAGGUGUUGGCGACAUUCCACGUCGUCGGUGCCGCAGCUAACGCAUUAAGUUCCCCGCCUGGGGAGUACGGCCGC
rnacentral:rRNA from 1 species